rnacentral:lncRNA from 1 species
AUGGAUGGAUGGAUGGGCGGACAGACAGAGUGACAAAUGGUUUACCAAAGUUAAGUUUCAUAUAAUAUGAACAAUAAUAAUAUUAGAUAUUUAUCAAGGUAUUGUGCAGUACUUUUGAUUGCUAGAAAAAAUCGAAUUCUCUCUUUUUUGAAAAUAUAUUUGUAUAUAAAAUAUCAGAACUCAAAAAAAAUCUUUAUUCACAUGUCAACUAAAUAAGAUUUUAGAAUUUUAACUGAAUUCUCAGCAGGAUCAAUUUUGAGACAAUCAUAUUUCUACUAAAAAAAAAAAAAAGAGGAUGUUUUGAGGGGAUAUAGCAGACCAGUGUUUGUCUUAUGAAACAUUCCAUAUAUAUUUUUAGGCAUGCAGAUAUUAGCUUUAACCUUUAGCGUAUAUUUAAACCAAAGGGCAUUACGAUAAGUUCAGUGUUUCUUUCUCCCCUGUUCAUUACUGUCCAUAUAGGGAAUAUUUAGGCACUGUUUUAUAAUUGCUCUCCUGACCAUAAUGAAUGUUAAACACUCCUGACAUUCUGUUUGUGCAUUCUGUGUGCAUCUCUGGCUUCCCUAGAAGAGAAGGAAGAUUUUCUCAGACUCACCUCUUGCUCUUUCCUGAGGUAGCAGUGAGUUUAGACCAUGAGGGUGUGCAGCAAGGGUGCUGAAAGCUUCUGAAGGUAGAGAAUAUGAAGCCUGGAUGUUUCUAGGACUCAGUAUCCACUGUGUAUACAGCCAGUAGAAGGAAUUUUGAGAUAAUAAUCACUUUUACUUAAUAGAUACCCACUGGCUUUUAAACUGAAAUGCUUAUAUUUUAUAUUAGAAUGAUGUUAUUAAACUCAUUGUGGGUUGGGGAUUUAGCUCAGUGGUAGAACGCUUGCCUAACAAACGCAAGGACCUGGAUUCGGUCCUCAGCUC